rnacentral:lncRNA from 13 species
AUGUGGUGGUGCAUGCUUAUAAUCUCAGCUACUUGGGGGAUAAGGCAGGCAAAUCACUUGAACCCGGGAGGCAGAGGUUGCAGUGAGCCAAGAUUGUGCCACUGCACUCCAGCCUGGGCAACAAGAGUGAAACUCCAUCUCAAAAAAAAAAAAAAAAAAAAAUUCAAGUACAACUGUUUUUUUGAGUUGGACUCUCACUCUGUCCUCUCUCCAUCUGCAAUCUGUCCUCUUUCCAUCUGCAGGCUGCUGUCCCCCACGCUGAUCCCGCCCUACCAGGUCAUAAGACUCUCAUUCCAAAGAGGGUCCUGUCUUAUACCCAAGAGGAAGGACUGCAGCGCAGAGAGGCCAAGCAGAAUCUAGACACGCGGGCCUGCUGGGCGUCGCCACCCAGUGGAUCAGCAGAUCUCGCCGGAUCCUGUUUCUCCACAGCAGUCCAUAUUUGCUGAACCUAAGCAUUAAACUGACAGCUUCCUCUGUGUUCAUUCUGAAGACUCUUGUGUCACAUAAAGCUAUGAUGAAAUAAAUUUGUAUGCUUUCUCUCUUUUAAUCUGCCU